rnacentral:rRNA from 1 species
GGUAAGUGGGUGCCUGAGGCAGGGGUAAGAGGGGUGGGGCUAGGGUGGCUCGGGAUGAUUGGGCGUAAAGCGAACGUAGUCGGCUUGUUAAGUCAGGGGUGAAAUCCUGGAGCGCAAAUCCAGAACUUCCUUUGAUACUAGCGAGCUUGAGUUCGGGAGAGGUGAGUGGAACUGCGAGUGUAGAGGUGAAAUUCGUAGAUAUUCGCAAGAACACCAGUGGCGAAGGCGGCUCACUGGCCCGAUACUGACGCUGAGGUGCGAAAGCGUGGGGAGCAAACAGGAUUAGAUACCCCAGUAGUC